rnacentral:lncRNA from 1 species
UGCAAACUUGAUUCUUACUGCUAGAUUUUCCAGAAGUUUCUUUUUAUGAUGGAGACCAAAAAGGCAAGUGAGUGACAGGUGAAAAAUAAAAUCAGAAGCUAGGAAGAAAAGGUGUCUAACCAUGGAUGCCCUUUUCCUGGAGUGUCUCUCAUUUUAAUCCCACCUAAAACAUCCAGUAACUAUAUAUGCAACCACGGCUCAACUCUGGCGUCUGCACAGCUUAAGUGCUGGAUCAUCUAUUUCCAACAUUGUUUGCUAGUUUUCUGGCAGCUCAGGACCGACCUUAGGAUAUGGGUUCACAUUCGACCUUCCAUGUCAGAGACCAUCCCAUGAGAAAGUGAGCCCUUCACAAUCUCCCUGGCAGGCCAAAUGGCCUUGUACCGAGAGCUGGUUGUCACCCCCCUUUCCUCCCUAUUCCUUUCCUGGCACCUGAGGCUGUAAAAGCUGAAUUAUA